GGAAAAUCUCACCCCUUGUUGUCCAGUAGCCUCAGUCUGUGACGCAGACCAAGGAAUCUCCAAAGCAACAAUGUUUCUUUCGCUUUCUCGUAAACAAGGGUGCUUUCUAUUCUUUGCUCCACCGAAUGACAGAAGGAGCUGAGCGAUUCCAUUUGUUUCUUUUGCUUUGCUCCACUACACUCUGUUUGUUUUCCACUUUUCCUUCACUUGAACCGAGAGAGAGAGAGAGGGGAUGAUUGUUCUUCUUCUUUGCGCGAGUUGGCCAUAAAGAGAGGGAUUCAAAUCUAAGGAAGAAGAUCACGAAUCUAGCUUCAGAGCAAUAGUGGUUAUAGAAGAUGAGUCUGAUGAAAGCACCGCCAUCAUUAUGGGAAAACCAGCUUAUGAAAUAAUUAAAUUUACAAUGACAUUAUAAAGCUUAACAAGCAAACAAACCAGCAGCAUCGCACUGGAGAAAUUAGGUAGUAGCAUAUUGAAAGGGUGACAUAUAGUAGGUGAUUCACACAAUUAAUUGCACUGAUUUUUUUAAUUUUUUUUUUUAAUUUUACAUAUAAAUGAGUCCGGUGUAUUUAAUCAUAAUUUUUACAGUAGAUAAGUAAAAGACAAAAGAAAGUAUUUAGGAGGGUGUAUUCAAUCUAGAUUUUAAAUGAUUCUGUCUGACUUUUUAUAAUUCAUGGAUUCUCAUGAAUUCUGUAGAAUCCACGGAU